CAUUCCGUGGAACCUUCGAGUUCCUGUAGUCCCCAUGCAGAACACGUGGUCGAUAGGCCGGACGUGGAAGCCCCGCGAGGGGUGGAGCCGACCGGUACUAACGGACGAAAGGCA
rnacentral:rRNA from 1 species